GAUGAACGCUGGCGGCGUGCCUAAUACAUGCAAGUCGAGCGAACGGACGAGAAGCUUGCUUCCCUGAUGUUAGCGGCGGACGGGUGAGUAACACGUGGAUAACCUACCUAUAAGACUGGGAUAACUUCGGGAAACCGGAGCUAAUACCGGAUAAUAUUUUGAACCGCAUGGUUCAAAAGUGAAAGACGGUCUUGCUGUCACUUAUAGAUGGAUCCGCGCUGCAUUAGCUAGUUGGUAAGGUAACGGCUUACCAAGGCAACGAUGCAUAGCCGACCUGAGAGGGUGAUCGGCCACACUGGAACUGAGACACGGUCCAGACUCCUACGGGAGGCAGCAGUAGGGAAUCUUCCGCAAUGGGCGAAAGCCUGACGGAGCAACGCCGCGUGAGUGAUGAAGGUCUUCGGAUCGUAAAACGCUGUUAUUAGGGAAGAACAUAUGUGUAAGUAACUGUGCACAUCUUGACGGUACCUAAUCAGAAAGCCACGGCUAACUACGU
rnacentral:rRNA from 1 species